AUUGAACGCUGGCGGCAUGCUUUACACAUGCAAGUCGAACGGCAGCACGAAAGAGCUUGCUCUUUUGGUGGCGAGUGGCGAGCGGGUUAGUAAUGCAUCGGAACGUACCGAGUAAUGGGGGAUAACUGUCCGAAAGGAUAGCUAACACCGCAUACGCGUUGAGAAGGAAAGUGGGGGCGCUUCGGACCUCACGUUUUUCGAGCGGCCGAUGUCGGAUUAGCUAGUUGGUGGGGUAAAGGCCUACCAAGGCGACGAUCGGUAGCGGGUCUGAGAGGAUGAUCCGCCACACUGGGACUGAGACACGGCCCAGACUCCUACGGGAGGCAGCAGUGGGGAAUUUUGGACAAUGGGCGCAAGCCUGAUCCAGCCAUGCCGCGUGUCUGAAGAAGGCCUUCGGGUUGUAAAGGACUUUUGUUAGGGAAGAAAAGGAUAGUGUUAAUACCAUUAUCUGCUGACGGUACCUAAAGAAUAAGCACCGGCUAACUACGUG
rnacentral:rRNA from 1 species